rnacentral:rRNA from 1 species
UACGUAGGGGGCGAGCGUUGUCCGGAUUUAUUGGGCGUAAAAGGCUUGUAGGUGGCCACGCCAAGUCGGAUGUGAAAUCUCCCGGCUCAACUGGGAGGGGUCAUUCGAUACUGGCGGGCUCGAGGCCGGUAGGGGGUAGCGGAAUUCCCGGUGUAGUGGUGGAAUGCGUAGAUAUUGGGAGGAACACCGGUGGCGAAGGCGGCCCCCUGGACCGGUACUGACGCUGAGGCGCGAAAGCGUGGGUAGCAAACGGG